rnacentral:snRNA from 2 species
UACUGCGUGGUGCGCACAAAGCGAACUAUUCUUUCGCCUUUUACUAAAGAAUACCGUGUGCACGCCAUAAUAAGGAGCAUACGCUAAUUUGGGUGCCUUUCUCUUUGAGAGGUG